GAGUUUGAUCCUGGCUCAGAACGAACGCUGGCGGCAUGCCUAACACAUGCAAGUCGAACGAAGGCUUCGGCCUUAGUGGCGCACGGGUGCGUAACGCGUGGGAAUCUGCCCUUGGGUUCGGAAUAACAGUGAGAAAUUACUGCUAAUACCGGAUGAUGACUUCGGUCCAAAGAUUUAUCGCCCAAGGAUGAGCCCGCGUAAGAUUAGCUAGUUGGUGAGGUAAAGGCUCACCAAGGCGACGAUCUUUAGCUGGUCUGAGAGGAUGAUCAGCCACACUGGGACUGAGACACGGCCCAGACUCCUACGGGAGGCAGCAGUGGGGAAUAUUGGACAAUGGGCGAAAGCCUGAUCCAGCAAUGCCGCGUGAGUGAUGAAGGCCUUAGGGUUGUAAAGCUCUUUUACCAGGGAUGAUAAUGACAGUACCUGGAGAAUAAGCUCCGGCUAACUCCGUGCCAGCAGCCGCGGUA
rnacentral:rRNA from 1 species